rnacentral:rRNA from 1 species
GGAAUUGACGGGGGCCCGCACAAGCGGUGGAGUAUGUGGUUUAAUUCGAUGCAACGCGAAGAACCUUACCAGGGUUUGACAUCCUGCGAACCUCUUAGAAAUUUGAGGGUGCCUUCGGGAAUGCAGUGACAGGUGGUGCAUGGCUGUCGUCAGCUCGUGUCGUGAGAUGUUGGGUUAAGUCCCGCAACGAGCGCAACCCACGUUUUUAGUUGCCAGCAUUUAGUUGGGCACUCUAGAAAGACCGCCGGUGAUAAACCGGAGGAAGGUGUGGAUGACGUCAAGUCAUCAUGCCCCUUACACCCUGGGCUACACACGUACUACAAUGCUACGGACAAAGGGCAGCAAACUCGCGAGGACAAGCAAAUCCCAUAAACCGUGGCUCAGUUCAGAUCGUAGGCUGCAACUCGCCUACGUGAAGGCGGAAUCGCUAGUAAUCGCAGGUCAGCAUACUGCGGUGAAUACGUUCCCGGGCCUUGUACACACCGCCCGUCACACCAUGGAAGUUGGCCACGCCCGAAGCCGUUACUCCAACCCUUGUGGAGGAGGACGUCGAAGGUGGGGCUGAUGACUGGGGUGAAGUCGUAACAAGGUAUCCGUACCGGAAGGUGCGGAUG